AUUGAACGCUGGCGGAAUGCUUUACACAUGCAAGUCGAACGGCAGCACGGACUUCGGUCUGGUGGCGAGUGGCGAACGGGUGAGUAAUACAUCGGAACGUGCCCAGCCGUGGGGGAUAACGUAGCGAACGCUACGCUAAUACCGCAUACGAGCUAAGGAUGAAAGCGGGGGAUCGCCAGACCUCGCGCGAGUGGAUGGGCCGAUGGCAGAUUAGGUAGUUGGUAGGGUAAAGGCCUACCAGGCCGACGAUCUGUAGCUGGUCUGAGAGGAUGAUCAGCCACACUGGGACUGAGACACGGCCCAGACUCCUACGGGAGGCAGCAGUGGGGAAUUUUGGACAAUGGGCGCAAGCCUGAUCCAGCCAUUCCGCGUGCAGGAUGAAGGCCUUCGGGUUGUAAACUGCUUUUGUACAGAACGAAAAGGCUCUGGUUAAUACCCGGGGCUCAUGACGGUACUGUAAGAAUAAGCACCGGCUAACUACGUGCCAGCCGCCGCGGUAA
rnacentral:rRNA from 1 species